GAAGGAGCAGGGAGGAGAGAGCCACCAUUCCUUAGAAGAGUGUGCAGGAGAGAGACAAGAGCCACCAUGGGAUAGAGAAGCAAGGAGAAAUGCCCUGAGCUCUGGGCCAGAAGAAUGUGGCCCAGAGGGCCGACUAAUUGGAGUUAAGAGCAGCCAAGAUGGAACAUAGAUAUUAUAGACCGACUAUGAGCUGGGAUUAGGGCUGACUGUACUGUGGUCUGGCAAGGGUUGAAGCAGAGGACAUGGUUUCUAGAAGUUAUUUCUUCAGCCUGGAUGUCAAUGAUCAACAACUGCUUGAGGCAUCCUUUCUCCCUGCAGAUUUGCUGUUUCCUCUGCUUCCCGGAGAAAGAUCUGGACUUGGAACAAAAUGUCCUUUCUUCCUGGAUGAUCGUCAUAUUCCUCCAGAGGUCAAAGAAAGCACAUAGUUCUUCUCUCUUUCUUAAGAAGAUCUGGAUGGUGUUAAAUUUAACUGCUAGCCCAGCUUCAAAGAGAAAUAUCUUGAUGCCAAAAAAGAUCUGGACACAGGUCACACAGGUGGAGUGUAUGUUCCAAUCUCCUUUACCACAUCCCAGUCAGAAGAAAGCAGAAGCUUUAUGACCAGUCAGACCCAUUCUACAAGUGUAUUCUGGGUACAAGGCCAUUUCUAUCUAGUCUACGACACAAAUGAACAGGACUCUACUGAACGAGAAAAGAGAGGAAACUCAAGAAGAAAGGAGGCUCCCGAGAGGCUGUGUGGAACAGAGACUCUCCCCAAGCCCCAUCAGCUUGCAACAGUGAGUAAAUAUAUUUUAAACUAAAAAGAUGCGGAAGAUGGAGAAACAAUAUCUUGUGUAUUGCAUGGAUGUAUCAUCUAUCAACUAAAAGUCUAUGACUUAGGCCGGAAAUAGAUGGUGGGACAUCUGGAAAGAGAAAGAAUUCUGUAAUUCUUUACCAGGUGUGGGAAGAUCUUCUCGGGAACAUGUGAGGAGAUGCAUGGUACGUAAGCACAGGUAACCAGCCAUGUGGCAGAUCGUAGAUUAAGGUAAAUGGUCUAUUUUAGGUUAGGAUCCAAUCAGAGAACAGCCUAGCUACAUGACCAAGGUAUUUAUAUUUGGAGUCUAAGCAUUAGUUCUAGAUGCAUGGGGCCUGAAGGAAAAACUGGGCCUACUUUUUACAUAAAGAGAUGUGGGUAAGCUUUCUCCACUGAACUGGAUCUCUGAAGAAGCGGAACACAGGGAUGAUUGCAUAUUUUUAUAUAUUGAACUUGAUCUCCGAAAGCUUUAUAUCUAGAAGAAUAAUACCACCCUUCUCCCUUUCUGAGUUGAAUUGAUGUACUUUUUUAAUUGCUUUUUUUCCCUAUCAGGACUGUGGAUAAUUUUAACUAUUAAAAAGUGUGAAGCACAAAAUAAAAGAUGUAGUAAAACUGCC